GGAGAAGAGAGAUGUGUGACAAAAAUGUUUCUAAAACAAUUGAAAUUUUCGAAAAAAAAAAUCUAGAAUCGUAAUUCCGGUUGUACGAAACACAGUAAUAUUAAAAGACAAACAAAGCUAUGAGAAAGAAAAAAUGCAAUUUCUGUGUCUUUUACCUGUUUUUUUCCAAAAUGGGGUAGUCCGAAAUUCCAUCAACAUAAAAUACACAAUUAUAUUGACAGAGAUGAAGGAAGGAAGAGGAAAAGAAUCUCUGUUCUUUUCCUUUCCACCAUAAAGUGUGAAGGCGUAUGGCUCAGUGAUUAGAGAAUUCGGCUCACGAACGUAAACGUCAUUCCCGAGUUCGAUUCCCGGCGACGCGUUGUAUCCUUGUACAAGACACUUUAUUUCAAGAUUUUCCAGUCCACUCAGCUGACGAAAAUUAGUUGUACCUGUAAUUCAAAAGGGCCAGCCUUGUCACAAUCUGUGUCACGCUGAAUCUUCUUGAGAACUACGUUGUUAAAGUUACGCGUGUCUGUGGAGUGCUCAGCCCUCAGCCACUUGCACGUUAAUUUCACGAGCAGGCUGUUCCAUUGAUUGGAUCAACUAGAACCCUCUACGCUGAAACCGAUGGAGUACCAGGUUUUUAACCCCUUAAGAUGAAAAAAAGAACAGAAGAAAAAGCCGCGUGCCAACAGUGAUCUGAACCCCGUGUUUGAUUCUUGCUUAUGUGAAGACGAACUCAACUUCUUCGAUUUAACACUUUUAAUAAAACAUAAGUCCGAGAAAAUCAGCUGGGAGUCAACUUCGACAAAAAUUAUAUUAUGUAAGUUUGGAUAACAGUUGCUUCCUUUUUUUCUUUCUUUCUUCCUUUUUUUUUGUUUGUUUGAUGCCGAGCGUUCAAGAGAAAUCUAAUGUCUCGAGUUGCCCAUUCAAAUAAAACAAAUAAAAUAUGCAAUCUC